UGCUUAACACAUGCAAGUCGAACGCAUGAACCUGGAGCUUGCUCUAGGGGAUUAGUGGCGAACGGGUGAGUAACACGUGAGUAACCUGCCCUUGACUCUGGGAUAACCUCCGGAAACGGAAGCUAAUACCGGAUACGACGUACGGAGGCAUCUCCUGUACGUGGAAAGAACUUCGGUCAAGGAUGGACUCGCGGCCUAUCAGGUAGUUGGUGAGGUAACGGCCCACCAAGCCUACGACGGGUAGCCGGCCUGAGAGGGUGACCGGCCACACUGGGACUGAGACACGGCCCAGACUCCUACGGGAGGCAGCAGUGGGGAAUAUUGCACAAUGGGCGCAAGCCUGAUGCAGCAACGCCGCGUGAGGGAUGACGGCCUUCGGGUUGUAAACCUCUUUUAGUAGGGAAGAAGCGAAAGUGACGGUACCUGCAGAAAAAGCACCGGCUAACUACGUGCCAGCAGCCGCGGUAAUACGUAGGGUGCGAGCGUUGUCCGGAAUUAUUGGGCGUAAAGAGCUCGUAGGCGGUCUGUCGCGUCUGCUGUGAAAACCCGAGGCUCAACCUCGGGCUUGCAGUGGGUACGGGCAGACUAGAGUGCGGUAGGGGAGAAUGGAAUUCCUGGUGUAGCGGUGGAAUGCGCAGAUAUCAGGAGGAACACCGAUGGCGAAGGCAGUUCUCUGGGCCGUAACUGACGCUGAGGAGCGAAAGCGUGGGGAGCGAACAGGAUUAGAUACCCUGGUAGUCCACGCCGUAUACGUUGGGCGCUAGAUGUGGGGACCAUUCCACGGUUUCCGUGUCGCAGCUAACGCAUUAAGCGCCCCGCCUGGNGAGUACGGCCGNCAGGCUAANACU
rnacentral:rRNA from 1 species